AUGCAGUCGAACGAACUCUGGUAUUGAUUGGUGCUUGCAUCAUGAUUUACAUUUGAGUGAGUGGCGAACUGGUGAGUAACACGUGGGAAACCUGCCCAGAAGCGGGGGAUAACACCUGGAAACAGAUGCUAAUACCGCAUAACAACUUGGACCGCAUGGUCCGAGUUUGAAAGAUGGCUUCGGCUAUCACUUUUGGAUGGUCCCGCGGCGUAUUAGCUAGAUGGUGGGGUAACGGCUCACCAUGGCAAUGAUACGUAGCCGACCUGAGAGGGUAAUCGGCCACAUUGGGACUGAGACACGGCCCAAACUCCUACGGGAGGCAGCAGUAGGGAAUCUUCCACAAUGGACGAAAGUCUGAUGGAGCAACGCCGCGUGAGUGAAGAAGGGUUUCGGCUCGUAAAACUCUGUUGUUAAAGAAGAACAUAUCUGAGAGUAACUGUUCAGGUAUUGACGGUAUUUAACCAGAAAGCCACGGCUAACUACGUGCCAGCAGCCGCGGUAAUACGUAGGUGGCAAGCGUUGUCCGGAUUUAUUGGGCGUAAAGCGAGCGCAGGCGGUUUUUUAAGUCUGAUGUGAAAG
rnacentral:rRNA from 1 species